UACGUAGGUGGCAAGCGUUGUCCGGAUUUACUGGGCGUAAAGAGCGCGCAGGCGGUCGUUCAAGUCGCGUGUGAAAGCCCCCGGCUCAACUGGGGAGGGUCACGCGAUACUGAUCGACUCGAAGGCAGGAGAGGGAAGUGGAAUUCCCGGUGUAGUGGUGAAAUGCGUAGAUAUCUGGAGGAACACCAGCGGCGAAGGCGGCAUCCUGGACUGGUACUGACGCUCAUGAGCGAAAGCGUGGGUAGCAAACAGG
rnacentral:rRNA from 1 species